rnacentral:rRNA from 1 species
AACGAACGCUGGCGGCAGGCUUAACACAUGCAAGUCGAGCGCCCCGCCAGGGGAGCGGCAGACGGGUGAGUAACGCGUGGGAACGUACCCUUUGGUUCGGAACAACUCCGGGAAACUGGAGCUAAUACCGGAUAAGCCCUAACGGGGAAAGAUUUAUCGCCGAAAGAUCGGCCCGCGUCUGAUUAGCUAGUUGGUGAGGUAACGGCUCACCAAGGCGACGAUCAGUAGCUGGUCUGAGAGGAUGAUCAGCCACACUGGGACUGAGACACGGCCCAGACUCCUACGGGAGGCAGCAGUGGGGAAUAUUGGACAAUGGGCGCAAGCCUGAUCCAGCCAUGCCGCGUGAGUGAUGAAGGCCUUAGGGUUGUAAAGCUCUUUUGUCCGGGAAGAUAAUGACUGUACCGGAAGAAUAAGCCCCGGCUAACUUCGUG